rnacentral:rRNA from 1 species
UGCUUAAUGCGUUAGCUUCGUCACUGAGAGGUAACCCCCCAACAACUAGCAUUCAUCGUUUACAGCGUGGACUACCAGGGUAUCUAAUCCUGUUUGAUCCCCACGCUUUCGUACCUCAGUGUCAAUACUCAUCCAGGUGGCUGCCUUCGCCAUCGGUGUUCCUGCUAAUAUCUACGGAUUUCACCCCUACAUUAGCAAUUCCGCCACCCCCUCUGAGAUUCAAGCCUUGCAGUUUCAAUGGCAGUUCCAGAGUUAAGCUCUGGGAUUUCACCACUGACUUGCAAGACCACCUACGUACGCUUUACGCCCAGUAAAUCCGAACAACGCUAGCCCCCUUCGUAUUACCGCGGCUGCUGGCACGAAGUUAGCCGGGGCUUUUUCUCCGACUACCGUCAUUAUCUUCAUCGGUAAAAGAACUUUACAACCCUAAGGCCUUCAUCAUUCACGCGGCAUGGCUGGAUCAGGGUUGCCCCCAUUGUCCAAUAUUCCCCACU